GGCGUAAAGGGCUCGCAGGCGGUUUCUUAAGUCUGAUGUGAAAGCCCCCGGCUCAACCGGGGAGGGUCAUUGGAAACUGGGGAACUUGAGUGCCGAAGAGGAGAGUGGAAUUCCACGUGUAGCGGUGAAAUGCGUAGAGAUGUGGAGGAACACCAGUGGCGAAGGCGACUCUCUGGUCUGUAACUGACGCUGAGGAGCGAAAGCGUGGGGAGCGAACAGGAUUAGAUACCCUGGUAGUCCACGCCGUAAGCGAUGAGUGCUAAGUGUUAGGGGGUUUCCGCCGCCUAGUGCUGCAGCUAACGCAUUAAGCACUCCGCCUGGGCAGUGCAGUCGCGAGACUGAGACUCACAGGAAUUGACGGAGGCCCGCACUCGCAGUGGAGCAUGUGGU
rnacentral:rRNA from 1 species